CAUCAUAUCUUUGUAAUAAUUGUUCUAUUGUAUCUAUCACACCUUCAUUUAUAAUGUCUUCAUCUAACACCCCAGUCAUGCCCUUCUAACACCCCAGUCUGGCAUUUGUGACAUCCUAGUCAUACACAUUCAACUUAUAAUACAUACAGACAUCAUAUCUUUGUAAUAAUUGUUCUAUUGUAUCUAUCACACCUUCAUUUAUAAUGUCUUCAUCUAACACCCC
rnacentral:lncRNA from 1 species